rnacentral:lncRNA from 1 species
GUAGAUAUGUAUUGGGGAAAGGGGACAGGUAUACUGGAGUGAUGGAGGUAGAUAUGUAUAGGGGACAGGGAUACUGGAGUGAUGGAGGUAGAUAUGUAUAGGGGGAAGGGGACAGGGAUACUGGAGUGAUGGAGGUAGAUAUGUAUAGGGGGAAGGGGACAGGGAUACUGGAGUGAUGGAGGUAGAUAUGUAUAGGGGGAAGGGGACAGGGAUACUGGAGUGAUGGAGGUAGAUAUGUAUAGGGGACAGGGAUACUGGAGUGAUGGAGGUAGAUAUGUAUAGGGGGAAGGAGACAGGGAUACUGGAGUGAUGGAGGUAGAUAUGUAUAGGGGACAGGGAUACUGGAGUGAUGGAGGUAG